UACAGAGGAUGCAAGCGUUGUCCGGAAUCAUUGGGCGUAAAGCGCGUGUAGGCGGCCCGGUAAGUCCGCUGUGAAAGUCGGGGGCUCAACCCUCGGAUGCCGGUGGAUACUGUCGGGCUAGAGUGCGGAAGAGGCGAGUGGAAUUCCUGGUGUAGCGGUGAAAUGCGCAGAUAUCAGGAGGAACACCAAUUGCGAAGGCAGCUCGCUGGGACGUUACUGACGCUGAGACGCGAAAGCGUGGGGAGCAAACAGG
rnacentral:rRNA from 1 species